GCCCUGGAAUAACCUGCCGCGCUAUCGUCGCGCUCAAAUCUUUCAGGCAUGAACCUGUCGGCGUCGUCCCAGUGCGCCGGGCUCCUCGCGAUCGCCCAUGCGUUCACGAUCACCCUGCUGCCCUUGGCCACCUGGAACCCGCCGAUGUCGCAGGUCUCUCGGCACUGGCGAGGGAGGAGCAGCGGGAGGGGCGGGUACAGCCUCAGGGUCUCCUUGAUCACCGUCUUGGUGUAGCGCAGCUUGUCCAUCUGGGCUUCGUGCUCGUCGGGGCUGCUGUGCUCGAAUGCUUGCCGCACCUCGUCUUGCGCCUUGUGCAUUGCGUCGGGGUUCCUCAUCAGCUCCGCCAUGAGCCACUCGGCCACCGACGAAGUCGUCUCCGUCCCUCCUGUGAAUAAAUCCUGCGCUGGACAAAAUUCAGGUGUGAGGUGCUAUGAGCAAGUGACUCUGCAUCUACUAGUCCUAGAAUGGAUUACAGUUGUCAGGAAUUUUUGUUGGGGACUGUGAUAUAAAAAAGUUGAAACUUUCAGAGCUUACCUGCAGAGAAUACAUUGUUGAAGUUGCAAAGAUAGUGCUUGGUGAACGAUGGAAGCCCUAGGAUGUUGUUUUUGUUUAUGUUUCUUACAGUGUUUGGUAGAUGAUGAAAGUUCUAAUGUUGUUUCCCUAUUUAUCUCCCAAAAAUGUUGAUUGUAUGGGCUAAUGUCAUGAUGAUUUUUCUGAAUUUACCGAGUUUAUGUGCACCGUUAAAACUUUGGCAACAUAAAAUGAUUUGGUCAUCAAUGGUUAAUCAGUUUCGAGAUUCCUUUU